GGGUUGUGAGGUUAAGCGACUAAGCGUACACGGUGGAUGCCCUGGCAGUCAGAGGCGAUGAAGGACGUGCUAAUCUGCGAUAAGCGUCGGUAAGGUGAUAUGAACCGUUAUAACCGGCGAUUUCCGAAUGGGGAAACCCAGUGUGUUUCGACACACUAUCAUUAACUGAAUCCAUAGGUUAAUGAGGCGAACCGGGGGAACUGAAACAUCUAAGUACCCCGAGGAAAAGAAAUCAACCGAGAUUCCCCCAGUAGCGGCGAGCGAACGGGGAGGAGCCCAGAGCCUGAAUCAGUGUGUGUGUUAGUGGAAGCGUCUGGAAAGGCGCGCGAUACAGGGUGACAGCCCCGUACACAAAAAUGCACAUGCUGUGAGCUCGAUGAGUAGGGCGGGACACGUGGUAUCCUGUCUGAAUAUGGGGGGACCAUCCUCCAAGGCUAAAUACUCCUGACUGACCGAUAGUGAACCAGUACCGUGAGGGAAAGGCGAAAAGAACCCCGGCGAGGGGAGUGAAAAAGAACCUGAAACCGUGUACGUACAAGCAGUGGGAGCCUCUUUUAUGGGGUGACUGCGUACCUUUUGUAUAAUGGGUCAGCGACUUAUAUUCUGUAGCAAGGUUAACCGAAUAGGGGAGCCGAAGGGAAACCGAGUCUUAACUGGGCGUUAAGUUGCAGGGUAUAGACCCGAAACCCGGUGAUCUAGCCAUGGGCAGGUUGAAGGUUGGGUAACACUAACUGGAGGACCGAACCGACUAAUGUUGAAAAAUUAGCGGAUGACUUGUGGCUGGGGGUGAAAGGCCAAUCAAACCGGGAGAUAGCUGGUUCUCCCCGAAAGCUAUUUAGGUAGCGCCUCGUGAAUUCAUCUCCGGGGGUAGAGCACUGUUUCGGCAAGGGGGUCAUCCCGACUUACCAACCCGAUGCAAACUGCGAAUACCGGAGAAUGUUAUCACGGGAGACACACGGCGGGUGCUAACGUCCGUCGUGAAGAGGGAAACAACCCAGACCGCCAGCUAAGGUCCCAAAGUCAUGGUUAAGUGGGAAACGAUGUGGGAAGGCCCAGACAGCCAGGAUGUUGGCUUAGAAGCAGCCAUCAUUUAAAGAAAGCGUAAUAGCUCACUGGUCGAGUCGGCCUGCGCGGAAGAUGUAACGGGGCUAAACCAUGCACCGAAGCUGCGGCAGCGACGCUUAUGCGUUGUUGGGUAGGGGAGCGUUCUGUAAGCCUGUGAAGGUGUACUGUGAGGUAUGCUGGAGGUAUCAGAAGUGCGAAUGCUGACAUAAGUAACGAUAAAGCGGGUGAAAAGCCCGCUCGCCGGAAGACCAAGGGUUCCUGUCCAACGUUAAUCGGGGCAGGGUGAGUCGACCCCUAAGGCGAGGCCGAAAGGCGUAGUCGAUGGGAAACAGGUUAAUAUUCCUGUACUUGGUGUUACUGCGAAGGGGGGACGGAGAAGGCUAUGUUGGCCGGGCGACGGUUGUCCCGGUUUAAGCGUGUAGGCUGGUUUUCCAGGCAAAUCCGGAAAAUCAAGGCUGAGGCGUGAUGACGAGGCACUACGGUGCUGAAGCAACAAAUGCCCUGCUUCCAGGAAAAGCCUCUAAGCAUCAGGUAACAUCAAAUCGUACCCCAAACCGACACAGGUGGUCAGGUAGAGAAUACCAAGGCGCUUGAGAGAACUCGGGUGAAGGAACUAGGCAAAAUGGUGCCGUAACUUCGGGAGAAGGCACGCUGAUAUGUAGGUGAAGUGAUUUACUCAUGGAGCUGAAAUCAGUCGAAGAUACCAGCUGGCUGCAACUGUUUAUUAAAAACACAGCACUGUGCAAACACGAAAGUGGACGUAUACGGUGUGACGCCUGCCCGGUGCCGGAAGGUUAAUUGAUGGGGUCAGCGCAAGCGAAGCUCUUGAUCGAAGCCCCGGUAAACGGCGGCCGUAACUAUAACGGUCCUAAGGUAGCGAAAUUCCUUGUCGGGUAAGUUCCGACCUGCACGAAUGGCGUAAUGAUGGCCAGGCUGUCUCCACCCGAGACUCAGUGAAAUUGAACUCGCUGUGAAGAUGCAGUGUACCCGCGGCAAGACGGAAAGACCCCGUGAACCUUUACUAUAGCUUGACACUGAACAUUGAGCCUUGAUGUGUAGGAUAGGUGGGAGGCUUUGAAGUGUGGACGCCAGUCUGCAUGGAGCCGACCUUGAAAUACCACCCUUUAAUGUUUGAUGUUCUAACGUGGACCCGUAAUCCGGGUUGCGGACAGUGUCUGGUGGGUAGUUUGACUGGGGCGGUCUCCUCCUAAAGAGUAACGGAGGAGCACGAAGGUUGGCUAAUCCUGGUCGGACAUCAGGAGGUUAGUGCAAUGGCAUAAGCCAGCUUGACUGCGAGCGUGACGGCGCGAGCAGGUGCGAAAGCAGGUCAUAGUGAUCCGGUGGUUCUGAAUGGAAGGGCCAUCGCUCAACGGAUAAAAGGUACUCCGGGGAUAACAGGCUGAUACCGCCCAAGAGUUCAUAUCGACGGCGGUGUUUGGCACCUCGAUGUCGGCUCAUCACAUCCUGGGGCUGAAGUAGGUCCCAAGGGUAUGGCUGUUCGCCAUUUAAAGUGGUACGCGAGCUGGGUUUAGAACGUCGUGAGACAGUUCGGUCCCUAUCUGCCGUGGGCGCUGGAGAACUGAGGGGGGCUGCUCCUAGUACGAGAGGACCGGAGUGGACGCAUCACUGGUGUUCGGGUUGUCAUGCCAAUGGCACUGCCCGGUAGCUAAAUGCGGAAGAGAUAAGUGCUGAAAGCAUCUAAGCACGAAACUUGCCCCGAGAUGAGUUCUCCCUGACCCUUUAAGGGUCCUGAAGGAACGUUGAAGACGACGACGUUGAUAGGCCGGGUGUGUAAGCGCAGCGAUGCGUUGAGCUAACCGGUACUAAUGAACCGUGAGGCUUAACCUUACAACGCCGAAGCUGUU
rnacentral:rRNA from 1 species